AUCAGGUGUAGAUUUGAAAACAAGCGAUUUUUUUAGAGUUUUCUUAAAUGAAUGUAGAUGAAUGAAUGUGAGAUAAACUGAGACGUAGAGGACUGAAUAUGACAGAAGAUUGUGUAUUAUGUGGUAAAAAACCUGAGACAACAUCUCAUGUGUUUUAUCAAAUGCAGGUUUGUGAGGUGAAUGUUAAAGGAGGGCUUUGAUGUAGCGGGUGGAUUGGUAAAUACACAAGACAUUGGGGAUUUUUAAACCAUAGCUCAUAAAAUUGAAAAAAUCACUCCUGGAUCAAAGUGUUGAGGAAUGGCAUUGGACAAUGCUUGGUUUCAUACUGUUGCACAUAUGAAAGGAGCGAAACCAACGUCACCAUGGAGGAAUCUCAACCUCGCAGGAAAAGAUCAUAAGGGAAUGCAUCAGAUCGACGGAAACCGAUUUCAAUGAAAACAAAUUCAAAAAGUCACACAAGAGGAAUGCGGAAGAAAAAGCAUUGCACCAAUAGUAUACUCUUCAGUUACUGAUCCAUAACAGGGUGGAAGAAGGAAAUUAAAAUUGAUCAACUGUCGGGCAAACCCGUCUACUUAAAUAGAAAGUAAGUAUAACUAUAUUUGUGUGUUCAACUUAUGUAGACCUUAAUUUUUUAAUAUACAAAACAACUUAUUCAAAAAAAAAAAAAAAAAAAAAAAAAAAAAAAAAAAAAGAAGAAAAGAGGACAGCAAGCAUAUUGGGAAAAUAGCUAUCAACGAGGGUGAUGGCUCCCGCUCAUCCAAAUAUAACACCCCCGUUGACUCUAAACAUAAAAAUAGAUCGCCAAUUCAGAUCACUGGAAUCCUUCAGGGUAAGGUUGGAAGGACAAGAGGGAAGGUCCGGCAACGGCUUAAUUGUUAGCGUGGAGUACCCAUUCAAAAAACCAUAAUGUAUGUGUUGUAAAUUAAGGUUAUGAACAUUGGAUAGCACAUUGCCAAGAGCAGUCUGGAGCAAUAAACAAAUCAAGUAGCAGAUGACCAACGGUGAUGAAGAGCGGACGACUCACGUCCAUAGAACUCUCAACACAAAAUCCACACAGAGGUCGAGGCACGAAAAUUCAAAUUCAAAUUCAAUUGUUAGUGGCAAAAAGAAACGAGUACGAAGGAAUCGUAGAAGUAAGACAACCAACGAUCACCAGGUUCAGCAAACGGAUAAGGGGGAGGACAUACCGCAAGUAGAAGAAAUCGUAAUAACGCCAGCUAACAGAGCCUACUGUACCGCCUAGUCCUGCAGUAAAUCAGAACCAGGAGAAGCCUAACCGGGACCAGGACCAGGAGAUCGAACAGCAGGACAUCCCACUCACCUCGCCACAGCAAAGUCAGGCUAGUAACCGUACCCUUAUCGAUCAGUCAGGUUCCGAUCCGAUGACUGAAUUUCCUUGUCAACCUCUGAUUCAGCAAUAAUAUCUUGUAUGAUCUGCCUUGGCUUCUUGGAAAGAGCCUAGAAUGAGGGCUGAGGCAAGUGGAAUCACAAUCUAAUGUUCUUGGCAUAUCGUCAGAAAUAAUCGUCUUUAUAGCUUUCUAAGCUAGUUGUCAAAGGUGACUCGCGUCGUUUGCUCAUAGAUCCUCUAAAAAUCUUAGAUCAGAUUUGAUCGAUUCGAAUUUCUUGUUCUUAGAACUGCCGUCAAAGCACCCUCCCUUUCUUUUGCUUUGAUCCCCUCUAAAAAAUUACUGUUUUACUUUAUCCAAAAAAGUUACCUUUAAAGUAGAA
rnacentral:lncRNA from 1 species